UGUCAUCUGGCUCAGUCGGUAGAGCAUGAGACUCUUAAUUGCAGGGCAGUGCGUUCAAGUCCCACAUUGGGCAA